AGAGAGAGAGAGAGAGAGAGAGAGAGAGAGAGAGAGAGAGAGAGAGAGAGAGAAAGAUAUAUAUAUAGAGAGAGAGAGAGCCCUCUGUCUGUUGUAUAUUAUUUUUAUUUCCACCUUUUUUACAUAAAAACAAGCAAGAUCGGCAUUGACCGUGCUAUGUAUGGAUGAUAUGUUCCGAUACUAGAGUAAAUCUUUCAACAAAUA